GCCUUUAUAACUCAGUAGUAGAGCGUCAGUCUUGUAAAGUGAAGGACCGCAGUUCGAUCCUGCGUGGAGGCA
rnacentral:tRNA from 1 species